CCUACGGGUGGCAGCAGUGGGGAAUUUUGCGCAAUGCUCGUAAGAGGAACGCAGCGACGCCGCGUGAAUGCCGAAGGCCUUCGGGUCGUAAAGUUCUUUCGACAGGGACGAAACUGCCUAUAAGUAACUGUGUAUGUAUUGACGGUACCUGUAUAAGCAGCCCCGGCUAACUCCGUGCCAGCAGCCGCGGUAAUACGGAGGGGGCGAGCGUUGUUCGGAGGGACUGGGCGUAAAGAGCACGUAGGCGGUGUUGUAAGUCAUUAGUCAAAGACUAGAGCUCAACUUUAGUAAGGCUAGUGAUACUAUAAUACUAGAGUAUCAGAGAGGAUUGCAGAAUUCCUGGUGUAGCGGUGAAAUGCGUAGAUAUCAGGAGGAAUACCGUUAGCGAAGGCGGCAAUCUGGCUGGAAACUGACGCUGAGGUGCGAAAGCGUGGGUAGCAAACAGGAUUAGAUACCCCAGUAGUC
rnacentral:rRNA from 1 species